rnacentral:SRP_RNA from 1 species
GCCGGGCGUGGUGGCUCACGCCUGUAAUCCCAGCACUUUGGGAGGCUGAGGUGGGUGGAUCACCUGAGGUCAGGAGUUCGAGAGCAGCCUGACCAAUAUGGUGAAACCCCGUCUCUA